AGCUCCUUCGACCGGGGCUUCGACUUCUCCCACCCGACCUCGGCUCCUCCCACGCAGCCUCGGUUACCCUCUCCGCCACCCGCUGGACCUCGGCUUCCAGGGCCCUGCCUCGGUUCGCCCGCCCUCAACCCCGCACUUGCUCUCGGCUUCCGCUCUUUCUGCCCAGCUCGACUCUCCCGCCCGCCCUCACCCCAGGAAAGUUCUCCAAGUCCCCACUCGACCCAGGAAGUCCAGCUGGCUUCACCUCUCAUUGAGUUUGCAGGAUGGCAGGCUUAUGGGUGUCCUACGAUCUGCCAUUUGUUUGGAAGCUGGAGAACCAAGAAAGCUGGUAGUCUUGCUCCAGUCCAAGCUCAAAGACCUGAAAACAGGGGAGCCAACAGUGUAAACCCCAGUGUGAAGUCCAAAGGCUUGAGAACCAGGAGGGCCAAUGGUGUAAGUUGCGAGUCUGAGUCUGAAGGCUGGAGAACCAGAAGCACCCGUAUCUGAGGUGGGGAGAAGACCGAUGUUCCAUUUCAAGUACCUUUUGUGGUUUCCCUACAUCCUGUUCACAAUUCUGUGAGGAGCCCCUUGAUAUAAACUGCGCUUGAAUCAUCCCAGUUGACGUGUGUGUCAACUGUUUCCUGCUGGGACUCUUGAUAUUCCAACUUCCUGAACAUGUAAGGAAAAGCCCUAACAAUGACCUAUAAAACCCCACAAGAUCAGGAUCUGCAUCUCCGAUUACCCUCUAAUCCCUGAAUCCCUAUUUUACCUGAGUCAUACUGGCCUCUGUGCUGUGGGUCUUUGCAUGCCAACAGUCCUCUUGCCACAAGUUCCUACUCAAUAGUCUCUCCUCAAAUGCACCUUAACUGGGGGCCUUUUCCUUCCUAUGCUACAUAAAAUGGAAAGUCCCCAGCCCUCCGUAACUCUCUCACAAUGCUUUAUUUUUCUGCACAACAUGAAUAUUGUUGAUUUUUCUUUUUCGAUGGAGUCUUGCUCUGUUGCCCAGGCUGGAGUGCAGUGGCGCGAUCUCGGCUCAUUGCAACCUCCACCUCCCAGGAUGAAGCGAUUCUCCUGCCUCAGCCUCCUGAUUAGCUGAGCGCACCACCACACCCAGCUAAUUUUUUUGUAUUUUUAGUAGAGAUGGCGUUUCACCAUGUUGGUCAGGCCGGUCUCAAACUCCUGACCUCAUGAUCUGCCCCAGCCUCCCAAAGUAUUGGAAUUACAGGCGUGAGUCACAGCGCCCGGCCAUGUUGUUGAUUUUUCUAUAAUUCACCCCUCCCCGUUAGGAUGUAAGUGCCUCAAUGGCAAAACUUGAGUUUCAUUCACUGCUCUAGACAUGGCAUCUCAAACAGUGCUUAGCCACAUGGAAUGUACUCAAUGAACAGGCUAGUGGUUAUGAGAAUCACCUGUCUGGAUUCCAAUCUGUGCUCUACCACUUACUAGCUGGUGAACUCAGGCAAGCAACCUAGACAUUUCCAUGCCAGUUUUCCCAUCUGUAAGUUGGAGACAGUAAUAGCACAGUUUGCAAGCUUAUAGUGAGGACGCAGUUAAUAUUUAUAAGGCACUUUGAAGAGCGCCUGGUCUAUAGGAUGGGCUAGCGAAAUGUUUGAUCUCUUUUUGUUAAUAUAUUUUCAUAUUACAAUUAUUUGGUAUGAAAAGGUAUGGCCCCUACUGAAAAUAAAUAAAUUCACAGGAGAAUAUCUAAACCUCUACGCACCUAGUUACAUUACACAUAAACAUAUAUAAAGUAAAAAUGACAGAAUUACAGAAAGAAUUUGUUAAUCUACCAUGCUAGUGGAAGACUUUAAUAUACCUCUAUCACUAAGUCAGGUCG
rnacentral:lncRNA from 1 species